CAUAGCUUGAGUCAUGUGUGCCAACUUUAUGCUGCUCUGCUCGCUGCUAGCCGCUGUUGCUGCAUUGCCACAAGGUGGACCUUGUGGCGAGAACGAGCAGCGCGCCUGUGUGCUCUGUGUAGAAGCAACAUGCAAUAUACCAAGUUUUAGCUCUUCUGAAGAGUGCGAUUAUUUAUAUGUCUGCAAGUUGGGCUGCGCUUGUAAGUUUGGCUAUAUACGCCAUGAUUAUACACAAAAGUGUGUGCCUAAUACAGAGUGCAACGAAUGAAUAAAUUAUUGUAGCAAGCGUUUAAUAAAUUUAGUACAGUUCAAACAGCGAACAUGUUAGCAUUGCGCUUAGUUUUCUUCAGCGUUUUUGCUUCAAGCGUUUUGCAUUUAAUUUUAGCCAUGACACACGCGCCGCCCGACUAUUCAGACUUGAAGCCUAAAACACUGUGCAUCUACGAAGUGUCUGGCAAUCCCUUAGUGUGCUAUUGAGUUGAUCAAAAUGAAUGAAAACUUUUGUCUUGGCUCUUGACUUUAGUACGCAAUAAAGCAAAUUGACUUGCGC